AGAGUUUGAUCCUGGCUCAGAACGAACGCUGGCGGUAUGCCUAAUACAUGCAAGUCGUACGCGAAAGCCCGCAAGGGUAAGUAGAGUGGCGCACGGGUGAGUAACACGUAGGUGACCUUCCCUUUUGAGUGGGAUAACCCGAAGAAAUUCGGGCUAAUACCACAUAAGUUUCUUUGGCAUGGUGCUGGAGAAAGAAAUGAUUGCCUCUACUUGUAAGCAAUCGCUGAAGGAUGGGCCUGCGGGACAUUAGCUAGUUGGUGGGGUAACGGCCUACCAAGGCGACGAUGUCUAGCCGGUUUGAGAGAACGUCCGGCCACACUGGAACUGAGACACGGUCCAGACUCCUACGGGAGGCAGCAGUAGGGAAUAUUGCGCAAUGGGCGAAAGCCUGACGCAGCAAUACCGCGUGAGUGAGGAAGGUCUUCGGAUUGUAAAACUCUGUCGGGAUGGAAAAAUGGUGUGAGGUCUAAUAGGCUUUACAAUUGAUGGUACAUCCAAAGGAAGCACCGGCUAACUUCGUGCCAGCAGCCGCGGUAAUACGAAGGGUGCAAGCGUUGUUCGGAUUUAUUGGGCGUAAAGCGCGCGCAGGCGGGUGAUUAAGUCAGGUGUGAAAUCUCAGGGCUCAACCCUGAAACUGCGCCUGAAACUGGUCAUCUAGAAUGUCGGAGAGGGAAGGGGAAUUUCGCAUGUAGGGGUAAAAUCCGUAGAUAUGCGAAGGAAUACCAGAGGCGAAGGCGCCUUCCUAGACGAUGAUUGACGCUGAGGCGCGAAAGCGUGGGGAGCAAACAGGAUUAGAUACCCUGGUAGUCCACGCCGUAAACGAUGAGAACUAGAUAUUGUGGGAAUUGACCCCCGCAGUGUCGCAGCUAACGCAUUAAGUUCUCCGCCUGGGGAGUACGGUCGCAAGAUUAAGACUCAAAGGAAUUGACGGGGGCCCGCACAAGCGGUGGAUUAUGUGGUUUAAUUCGAAGCAACGCGCAGAACCUUACCUGGGCUUGAACUCUCACGAACCUGGUAGAGAUAUCGGGGUGCUAGCAAUAGAAUGUGAUGAGAGGCGCUGCAUGGCUGUCGUCAGCUCGUGUUGUGAAAUGUUGGGUUAAGUCUCGCAACGAGCGCAACCCCCGUUCUUAGUUGCCAUCAUUAAGUUGGGCACUCUAGGAAGACUGCCUGGGUUAACCAGGAGGAAGGUGGGGAUGACGUCAAGUCCUCAUGGCCCUCAUGUCCAGGGCUACACACGUAAUACAAUGGUCGGUACAAAGGGAUGCGAACCUGCGAAGGGGAGCAAAUCUCAAAAAACCAAUCUCAGUCCGGAUUGAAGUCUGCAACUCGACUUCAUGAAAUUGGAAUCGCUAGUAAUCGCGGAUCAGCACGCCGCGGUGAAUACGUUCCCGGGCCUUGUACACACCGCCCGUCACACCAUGGGAGUUGUUCUUACCUGAAGCCGUGGCCCUAACCGCAAGGGGGGGAGCGUCUACGGUCGGAAUGAUGACUGGGGUGAAGUUGUAACAAGGUA
rnacentral:rRNA from 1 species